rnacentral:piRNA from 1 species
AGGGAAGGCUCCCGUGUGUGGAUAGUACU